rnacentral:ncRNA from 12 species
GGGUGCGUCGGCAUCGGGCCGCCGCAGGUAGACAUCGGGUGGUCGGGCCGCCACUC